UGAGGAAGUGGUCUGAUCAGGACUGGGUAUCUUUCUGGAAGAUAUACUUUGGCCAAACAGUGGGAUCCAUAAAGAGCCUGCAGUGAACUCAGUGGAGAAAGAAGUCCCCCCAGAGCCCAGAAGCUGGCAGUGGGACUACUUAUAUAGAAGCUCAGGCCAGAAGCUAAGUGAAGUUCCAGCUGCUAAAGGAAGCAGAAGUCUGCCCUAUGCUCCCAGGCUAUGAGGUCCCUGACGACUUGACAGACGCUGAAGACUGGCUUGGACUGCCAGGCCCCCAAACCAACAAGGAAACCUUGCUGAAUUUCCCUGAAGGGCUAGACUGAGACUAGGCUCAACCUAUAGAAAGAAGGAGCAUGUGGCUGGUUGGACAAGGAGAAGAUGUGUGAAGAAACAGAGAGAGGCACAAAUCCUCCCUACUAUCCCUUGUGCAAGGAAAAAGGUUACUUAAGUCUUUUGUGUGUCAGACUGCAGGGUCAAAAAAGGAAUAAGCUGUUGCUCUGAGGUUUGGAGCUCUGUGCCAUCAAGAUCACAGCUGCUAUGUAUGCACAGAAAAGUGCAGAUUGCGCAAAGAGAAGAGUGAAACAUGCAAAACAGAAGAAGGCUGCAGAUAACAUUGCAGGCUGUACGCCCCAUGUGGCCAUCGGUAGCAUUUUAUCAUCUGCCAUAUAUGUAGCUUCCUUGAAAACUUUUCCACCACUUUCCAUCUUAAUAGGGUCACAGUGCCCUUCUUCUGCCUGCAUGGACUUCUACUUGCUGUUCCUUUACAUAAUGCCAGAAUUAAUAAAAAUCCUGUUGAUAAACCUAUUUUUCCAUUUGAACCCUUCUAUUUUUCUAGUCAUUGUUCUAUUUUAUUGAAAUGUAAGUUAAAAUAUAAUUUGUUCUAAGAGAAUACUAGUAAAUUAUUGGUAUAUUAUUUUCUUUUAACUUAAUAGGAUUCCAGAAAAAUGACUUGACUCUCGCUGGUACACUAUAUAUAGGUAUAUUUAUAACUCUUCAAAGUUACAGUAUACCUAGAGACUACACUUAAUGUACGUUGUUCUCACUUCGAGGAAAUGGUAAGGACAGGGUUGUGAAUUAUUAUUCUGUGGACAGAGUGGAACAUGAUAUCUUUAAACCAGUUAAAAAUAAAUCUUUGCUUUUGGUUACAUUGAGUGCAUUCUGGUGGACUUGUAAUUUUAUAUUAAUUGUAUUUUUAAGGAUUUGUCACAAACUAUUAGACAAGACACAAGCUGCUAUAUACAUCUAAAUAAAUACAUAUAUUAAUCUCUGUGCGUCUAAUAAAGUUAUAAACUAGCAUGUUCCGAGGGAAAAUUUCAUUGGUUGGGAAGUGCUGUAAUUACAGAACAUGCAUGCCUAUGUUAGUGCUUUGUGACAAGGAACAUUAAGUAACUCCAGAUGCUGGAGGAAUAUAGCCUUUGACAUUGCACCUUGACCCCCAUUCAAGAUGUGUAAUUAUCACACCAAUUCAGGUCUUGAUCCUGCUUCCAUUGGAGUUUUGGCAGUGAUUUCAGUGGAAGCAGAAUCAGAUCACAUCUACAUGCACAUCUAUUAUGCAUGCUUAUUGUUCAUAAGAAAGUAACAAGGCACAUGGGAAGUUCUUAUUUUCACGCUUCUUCCCCCCUCAGUAUUUCUAGCAACUUGUGAUUUUCAGUAAGUAAUUGCAGUUUAGCGUUGUUUCUCCUAUUGCCACUCACUAAACACCCACUGUGAAAGCUAAGUUUUUUUUUUUUUUUAAAUCACACAUUUUUUUCUUGUUUGUGAUUGGGAAAGUAAAAAGACAAGGGAGAAAACAAAAGUAUUAACAUAUUUCAUAUUAACAUUUCCAUUUCUGUUGUACAUUGAAAGGAUUUACUAUGAACAUGUUAUUUUCCUAGAUUCUUACUGAUUAACAGCGUAAGGCAAUUUUAAAGCCUCUAUAUACCUUCAGCCACUGUUUAUUAUGUACCAAUUAAGUUUAUCCAUUUGAUCAUAAUGAAGAUGUCACAGCUACUUUACAGACCUGUUUGUAAGUCUCGUGACUGAUGUAAGGCAAGACCCUCCCCCAAAAUAAUUUUAACCUUGUAUCAUAAAUCAGUUUUAAGACAAGAUCCCCCAUCCUCAACAAUCCGGUCAACACUUCCUGAAAGACAGAGCUAAAGGUCAUUAUCUUGAAGUCAUUAACAGAAUUGCUGAAAAUGGAGUAACAGCUAGCUAACGGACUCCAUUCUGUGAAUGGGAUAUGAAAUAGAAAAAGAUACAUAAUUUUUUUAUGGAAUGUACAGGAGAUCCAAAUUCUAGCUACAGGUACAUGCAUGGGAUUCCCAUGUAAGUAACUGGAAACAUGUAAGGCCAAAGUUUGGCAAUAAGGGUUCUAUUAUUAAAAGAGUAUGGUGCUCUUCCUGAUCUGUCUUACUAAGAACCCUUUUCUAUGGGUAUCAGACACACAUUUCUUUUCUAUGUAAUGACCUGCUGUUUCCACUUUUAAAAGCAUUUUUUUAGAUGCUGGUCAAUAGAUUCUGUAUUGCAUUGCUUUAAACUGUUUAUAGAAUCCAGAUGAAUUACUA